UACAGAGGGUGCAAGCGUUAAUCGGAAUUACUGGGCGUAAAGCGUGCGCAGACGGUUGCGUAAGUCAGAUGUGAAAGCCCCGGGCUCCAACCUGGGAAUUGCAUUUGAGACUGCGUAGCUAGGGUGCGGAAGAGGGAAGCGGGAAUUUCCGGGUGUAGCGGUGAAAUGCGUAGAUAUCGGAAGGAACACCAGUGGCGAAAAGCGGCUUCCUGGUCCAGCACCGACGUUCAGGCACGAAAGCGUGGGAGCAAACAGGG
rnacentral:rRNA from 1 species